GUGUGGACAAACGUCCUGUGGUGCUGCUAUUCCACGGAGUCCAUCCCAUUGGAUCUAUCAUAUCAUCCAGAUAAGACUCCAUAAACACUACUGUUGAGAAAUCACCCCACGGUCUUCCCAAGAACGUCUUCACCAUUCUUUUUACUGGAACAAGAUCUGAACUUGCCGUUAUACUGCAAUUCUGAAUUGAAAACCCCGAUGUACCCGGCUUGUCACUUUGUUGAGCAGUUAUAACAUUGCUCUGUCCUUCCAUUGGCUUCCGGGCCUCAAUUCGACAGUUUUGAAAAAUUGCUGAGGCAUGACCGAAAAUGAAGUCUACGGUGCCCGUGAUGAAGCAGUCACGGUAAAAUUGUCUGUAUGAAUGGGCAUAGAGGGUAUCCUGAUAAGCAUCAAUGCGACACCGAUAGAUGACUACAGCAUCACCGCUCACUCGAAGAGCAACAGCCUGUCCCUUUGCUGGUCCAGCCGUGUUCUGUAUCCAAAGAUCCUGGGCCA
rnacentral:sRNA from 1 species